CCUACGGGGGGCAGCAGUGGGGAAUAUUGGACAAUGGGGGGAACCCUGAUCCAGCCAUGCCGCGUGUGUGAAGAAGGCCCUCGGGUUGUAAAGCACUUUCAGUGAGGAAGAACGCCUGGUGGUUAAUACCCAUCAGGAAAGACAUCACUCACAGAAGAAGCACCGGCUAACUCCGUGCCAGCAGCCGCGGUAAUACGGAGGGUGCGAGCGUUAAUCGGAAUUACUGGGCGUAAAGCGCGCGUAGGUGGCUUGAUAAGCCGGUUGCGAAAGCCCCGGGCUCAACCUGGGAACGGCAUCCGGAACUGUCAAGCUAGAGUGCAGGAGAGGAAGGUAGAAUUCCCGGUGUAGCGGUGAAAUGCGUAGAGAUCGGGAGGAAUACCAGUGGCGAAGGCGGCCUUCUGGACUGACACUGACACUGAGGUGCGAAAGCGUGGGUAGCAAACAGGAUUAGAUACCCUAGUAGUC
rnacentral:rRNA from 1 species